ACCCUAUUUCCUUUUCGCUCUUGAGAUGUGGUCUGGUGGGAUAUCGGGUAUCCGUCCGAAGGUCGUUUAAAUAUUAGUUAUAUAUAAUGUGUACAUAUAUAGUCAUAAAGGUUCUUCCAGUUCAGUUCAAUACCCUUGGGUAGCAAGGGUACACAUCCAUGUACAUACGUACCAGUUACAUUACAAGUAAGCUACCGUAUGGGUAGUUUAGGAAGAUACUAGGACUAUUGCUAGAACGCGAUAUCAUACAAUGAGUCAGUUCAUUCAUGAGUCAAUACUUGCUAGAUAGAGGGAACAUACAUUACAACUAGUACACACAGUACGUUAUUAUACAUGCUAGAUAGAGAGAGAACAUACAUUACAGCUAGCACACGCAGAAUAUUUCAGUACACACAGGCUAGAUGGAGGAAGAUUACACUUUCAGUUAGCACAUUUAUUACAUAUACGUUUAUGCAGUUAUGUGAAUCAUUGAGUGGGUCAUGGCACUUCCUGCCAUGACCGUUCUUGUAUCCAGAAUCUCCUUAAUUGGAGAGUGUAUGAGUUUGCGUAUAGAUCUAUACUGGAUUGACUAUCCUACACGUUGCUGCUCGCUACAGUGGGACUUGCAAGUCUACGGGUGCCAAAUGUCAUUUCUUACGGCGUCUUACAUCAUCGUUUUACUAGAGUCGGUAGCAGGAUACAGGUCGAUCACAUGUUAUGUUGAAUACCUUUUUGUUUUAAGGUAGUUAGUACGGUUGUAGUCAUUUGACACUACAACAUACUACUAUUUCAUUUUCCCAUUACAUUCACACGACGCACGGUAAUGUAGAAACUAUAUUUUUGGUUAAUGAUAGUCAGACUUGGGAAAAUACACACUCUCACAAGAGACACACAAACAGACACUAGAUGCCUUGGUAGAAGGCUACAUAUAGAUCAGUUAAGUGUUGGUAGAAGACUCCCUGUUAUAAUAGUAGGAAUCAUAGGGAUUUCUAGAGUUUACCAAAAGUUUACAGUUGUUUUACUUACGUUUUCAAUACUUACAAUUCAUACAUACAAAUCUAGACACUAAAAUACUUAUGAUCUCACAGCUUCAAAAGCUGAUACUCUCUUUCAAAAUAACUUGUAUCCUCAGGUCAACCAUAGACAGGUACCGAUACAAGGUUCAGGAAGAUGGUGCUCGACCAAGACACAUCUUUCAUUUUGAUUUAUGCUUUAGUGUUUAUCAGAAAUUGACAGAACACAAUCGUAUAAUAAUUAUAUUAUUAAUGCAAUGGAUGAUGUUGUUGCUUGUUUAGUACUUUUCAUUGUUGUGAUACUGUACAUGACGUCCUCCGCCACAGAACGUUUCCGCCAUUCUUGGUUUUGGGGUGUGACAGAUUAAUAUCAGAGCAUUGUUUAUAGUGAAUUAUGUAUAUCAACCCAUAAAAGAUAUACUAACUAUAAAUACAUAAGGGAAUAAAAAUACUUUGACCAAGAGUUUAUGCUUUAAAUAUUAAAAUAUUUAAAUAAGUAUACGUGCUGUAUUCAUACUAAAAUCAGUGUCACUAGGACAGUACAAAAGAAUUAUGAUUGUUGGGCAACACAGGUGGACUUAGAGACAUAUAGUCAAAACUGGGAAGAUAUAGCAUGAUCAACUAUAUUAUCCGAGGGUUGACUAGCAUGUGCCUAAGUGUAGUUGUGUGGUUGCAACAAUGCUAAAAUCUUACCAACCCUACCACAAUGAGAACUGUAGAACAUAACAGUAAAAUUAAAAUACUAUAGGAGUAUAUGGUGUUACUAUAAGUACCUUAUACUUGAGAACUAAAACAGGAUCUUCAUUACUAAGUUGAUAAUUGCUAAGUGGAUACACUAAGGAUAUAUAUAAUUAGGAUGUUCUAGACUUAGAAUCUAUGAAAUUUUACUUUACCCCUAUUCUGUGUGAAUACGGAGUUAAGGUCACUUAUUCGACGGUCUAUCCUGUUUAGAUUACACAUAACUGGUAUGCACUUCACAAAUAGAGAUGCAACUAAUGAAUGUUUCCAAAAUAAUUAUCUAGAUAGUUCGUCUAAUAAUUAUUCUCUUACCCUAGAUUCCCACAUAGAAAACAUAGCUGGACUCCAUCCCCACGGCAACCAGUAUCUUCCGAAUGAAGUCAUGGCUAGUUGGUUUGGAGAAGAACUAGAGAAUGAUCAUCCUAUCCCUUUGAAUGAUCACCAUGAUGAAAACCUUUCAGACGGUGCUAAUUCCGAACCAGAGGUUGAGAAUCUACUCCAGGCAGUUCCCGUUCCAAUUCCUAACCCUCGUCCGGCUUUUCAUGGCCCGACCCCUGAGUGGGUGGAAUGCUUGGAAACAUGGAGCCAAGGUCAAGGUCAGCCCAUGCCAUUUAAUGACAACCGAAGCUUUUAUGACCUAAGCAAUGGGGGCUCAACAGACAGAACCUUGUCAAUCUUGGUCCGCAGAGUGGCCCGAAAUGAGAUUCAAGACGGGACAGCCCUACGUCAGAUUACCAAAGUUGUCACCGAUGCUAGAAUGCAUACCCUCCGCACCAUUCGUCUAGAAGAUGCUCGCGAGAGAUCAGAGAGAAACCAUGAAACCCUGCUUCAAGCACUAGCUGAAUCACAAGCCGAAGUCAUAGAGCUCCGAGUACACCAGAGGGUGUGCGAAAGACACCUACUUGAUAUGGAAUGUCAACUGGCUGAACUGAGAGUUCACCAGAAGGAUGGCCGUCGCCAGUAGUAGAUGCUUUACUUUAUUUUUUUUCCUUGUUAAAAGGAAUCGUUUUUCUGUCCAUGCCCGAUGUGGCAUUUUCUAUGAAGUUAUCUUGUACCGUAAGUACUUUUGGUUAGGUCUUCAUGCUGUCAAGAACUAUCUUCUCUGGAUAUGAUGUAUGACCUUUACAAGGUCAUGUUUUGUCACACCCCGAAAACCGAAGGUGGAAACAUUUUCGGGGUUGACUCCACGUUGAGUAUCAAAUCCAAUGUACAUAGUAAGUAAAGUAGAACAACCAUUACAUUAUAUAUAGAAAACUUUUACAAUUGUUUCAAAAGUAAAGUUGUACAGUUGUGAUACAUAUUAUAUACAUAUAUNNNNNNNNNNNNNNNNNNNNNNNNNNNNNNNNNNNNNNNNNNNNNNNNNNNNNNNNNNNNNNNNACAAGCGGUUUGAACAUCAGCAUAACGCUGGUGAGUUCAUAAGCGUUUUUGUUUGUGAAAUUGUUCAAGUUUCCUUUCUGUUUCUGAAAUGUUAUGCACACCAAGAAAAUCCCAUAUUUUCUUAAUAAAGUUGGUUAUCGUUUGUCAACAUGUAAAGUAGAGUUGUACACUGAAAACAUGUUUACUUUUGUGAAAAUGUAAAGUUAGGUUAUCUGGUUUGACGUACUGUUCUGGUUAUGUACUAAUGUAUUCCCAGGAAAGCCCCAUACCUUCGUGAUUUUAAGUUACCAUUUGUCAAAGAUGUAAGGUUAUCCAGUUUGUUACACUUAUCUAGUUGUGUAAAUGUUUUCCCAGGAAAGCCCCAUGCUUUCCUGAAUGUUGGUUACCUUUUUGUAAAAGUUGUAUUCCGGUUAGACCUGGUUAUGUGCAAGGUUUCCCAGGAAAGUCCCAUACUUUCCUGAAUGUUGGUUUUCAAUGUAAAAGAUGUAUAAAGUUAUUCAUUAUUACUAUAAGUAAAUCUCUGUUAUCCUAAUUACGAGUUCCAUAACCAUACUAUAGACUGAACCUGUGGCAAUAAGUAGUCCACAACCUUAUGACUUUCGACACCCUUGAACCAUUUCGGUUCGACUGUAGCUAGCAGCCAGGUGUGGGGCAGUCAGCCCCGUAUAGAUCUAUACACUCAAGUCACGCUCUCUAAAUCCCAGAGAUUAUGGUUACGGGCGUAGUCCUCCACUUGCGUAUCUCUGUGGAGUGUUCGCCGAGGACGUGUCUCCAAUCAUACAGGAAUAACAAAUUUACUAGUAAUAAUAUGAUAAUCCUCCACUCGCGUAUCUCUGUGGAGUGCUACCGAGGACAAGACAAUGUACAAGUUAUAUUGUUCAUGUGUUCUAAUGUCAUGCUUUUAACUGAUAAAAUGUGGAAAACAUUUGUGAAAUAUAUAAAACAUAACAGUUUAUAAAACUCAUUUCACAGAUAAAUGUUUACGUGAUCUGCAUGCUCGAAUGGUUAUCAGUUGUAUCAAUCAGUAUUAAAAUCAUAUAAAGUAUGAAACACACACACGAAAAACAAGUUUUUGAGUACAAGAAACCCUUGUACUUUGCUUGUGUUCCCCCCCUAAAAACAGUGAAAAACAGUGAAAAAGGGUAGGGGUAUGAGCUCACCAGACUCGGAAAUGCGACAGUUUCGGACACUAGACGUUGGUUCGGGGCUUGAUUACUCGCGAUGUCCCUAUGUAAAAUGUAAUAAUGUCCAUAUAUAACUAAUUAGAUUUACAAUUACUAAUUAUAUGGAACAUUACACUCCAACGAGGUUAAACACCUCAAAACGAGUGUUUGGAGUGACCCGGGUGACAUCUUCGGACGUAUAAUAGCACUAAGGACUUAGGAAUUGAGUUUACUCCCCAAGAGUAAACAUAUUAGGGAGUUUACGGCCAUAUAUCACACACGCAUGAGUUCACGGCCGUGAACUCAUGUUUGGGUAGUUUUGGAUGCUAAAAUGGCUUAAAUGGACAAGGGAAUGUUGGAAUGAACUUCUAAAAUGCCUUGGAUUAAUUUGUUUAGAUUUAUACCAUUUAAAAGGGAGUUCACGGCUGUAAACUUGGAGGUUACGGCCGUAAAAUAUCCUAUGGUCAAGAGAAAAUUGAUUUGAGGCACUUAGAGCAAUCACAUGUGUUUCUAGUUAAUUUUCCAAGCUUUGGGAUGGUUUAAAGGCAUCAAAUGACACACUUUUAUGAGUUUGUGCUAUGGUCGUAAACUCCUAAAUGUGGUGUUUUGUUAUGUUUAAGGCCUCCACACUAAUUUUAGAUGGUUUUAUGAUUUAUUCCAAGGCUAUUAAUUAAGUUUUAAGGCAUUCUAACAUGUAUAAGGGUGUUUACUCCCCAUGUUUGAGGAGUUUACGGCCCAAGAACAAGCCUUGGCUGUAAACUCUCUUUUGUCCUUCAAAAUUCAUGCUUUAAGUGUUUCAAGUCCCAAUUUGUAAGCCUCAAAGUCAUAUCUAAAUCCCAACAAUGAUUUGGAAGGGUUAAUUGGCUUAAAAACCCCAUUUUUAAGUGUUUACGGCCCAAGCUUGAUCCUUGGCCGUAAACACAUGUUCUAGGUCCUAAAACUCAAUUUAAACAUCAAUUUGAAGGCUAAAGAGGUUAGAUAACAAGUUAGGGAUGUUACCUCUUUGAUUUGGAGCCUUAAAUCUUUGUUUUUGGACCUUUGAUUAUGGAUGAGGAGAGAGGUUGGAGAGUGAUUAAGGAAAGAUGGCCAAAAGCUUCAAAUGAAAGCUUUGAGUCCUUUAAAUAGUGCUCGGGAAUUGGACACGACGGAAUUCUACCCGAUACCGGCGUUAGGCGGGGCUUUUGGUCGCACCCGACCAAGUUGCCGUAACCCGAUAUGGUCGAUUCUAGAAUUAUUCCGAUAACUAUUAUGGGGUGUUAGAAUGAUUUCAAAUGGCAUUAAGACACCCAUUAAGUCAUUUUAGAUCAAUACAAGUUAAUGACUUAAUUAAAUGGCGAAAUCGGAAACGGAUUUGGAAACGGCGUUUGGUUGAUCGAAUUGGAUUACAAUUUGAGUUACAAGAAGUGAUAUGAAAUUUCGGGUUGUUACAUUAUCCCCCCGUUAGAGGGAAUUUCGUCCCAAAAUUCAAGACAAGAUACAAGACAAAAUACAAAUCAUGGAUCUAGAAAGAGUUGCGGAUACUUCUGUUUCAUCGAGUCUUCCCGCUCCCAAGUGAACUCCGGUCCCCGCUUGGCAUUCCAGCGAACCUUCACUAACGGGAUGCGACUUUGUUUCGUACGUUUGACUUCUCGAUCCAUGAUUUCGAUCGGUUCCUCCACGAAGUUGAGGUUUUCAUCGAUCUCGAUCUCGUCUAAAGGAAUCACUAGGGUUUCAUCGGAUAGGCACUUCUUGAGAUUUGAAACAUGGAAGACGGGAUGGAUGUUACUGAGCUCGUGAGGUAAACGAAGUUUAUAGGCUACCGGACCAAUCCUGGCGAGGAUCUCGAAAGGUCCAAUGUACCUCGGAUUAAGUUUCCCACGCUUACCAAAGCGUACAAUGCCUUUCCAGGGCGAGACCUUCAACAGGACAUGGUCUCCAACCUGGAAUUCCAAUGGUUUCCGACGGUUAUCAGUGUAACUCUUUUGGCGAUCACAUGAAGCUUUCAGUCGUUCUCGGAUUUGGAUGAUCAUCUCGGUGGUUUCACGGAUGAUUUUAGGACCAGUGAAAGCACUGUCCGGGACUCGACCCUUGGCUAACUGUGUAUCCCCCACCUCGGCCCAGCACGGAGGGGAUCUACUCUUGUGACCGCAUAGGGCUUCAAACGGGGCAGCCCUAAUGCUGGUGUGGUAACUAUUGUUGUACGAGAAUUCGAUCAAAGGUAGAUGUGCGUCCCACGACUUUCCAAAGUCAAUGACACAUGCCCUAAGCAUGUCUUCCAGAGUUUGGAUUGUUCUCUCACUCUGUCCAUCUGUCUGAGGAUGAUACGCCGUGCUCAUAUCUAGUUUGGUUCCAAGAGAUUUCUGGAGAGACUGCCAAAAUCGGGAGGUAAACCUGCUAUCUCGAUCAGAGAUAAUGGACGCAGGUACACCGUGCAGUCGAACUACCUCUUGGAUAUAAAUCCGCGCGAGUCUUUCCAUCUUGUAUGAUUCAUUGAUUGGAACGAAGUGAACGGACUUGGUUAAACGGUCAUCAAUUACCCAAAUGGUAUCAUACCCACUCGGACACCUGGGUAGUUUGGUGAUGAAAUCCAUGGUGAUCAUCUUCCAUUUCCAUUCGGGUAUCGCAGGUUGUUGGAGCAGACCCGAGGGUUUCUGGUGCUCAACUUUUACCUUGGCGCAAGUCAGACACUUGCCUACAAAUGUAGCUAUCUCAGCCUUCAUGUUUGGCCACCAAUAUUGUUUCUUGAGAUCUAAGUACAUCUUGUCAGAGCCCGGGUGAACAGAGUAUCUGGUUCUGUGCGCUUCCUCCAUAACUAUCUCUCUGAAUCCUCCGAACUUGGGAAUCCAGAUCCGAUCCAUGAAACAAUGGACUCCGUUACCUCUGAUCUCAAGUUUCUUUUCCAUUCCUCUCAAGGAUUCGGUCGACACAUUCUCAGGUUUGAGGGCUUCUAAUUGGGCUUCUCGGAUUUGCAUGGGUAGGUUGGAAUGCAUGGUCAUCGUCUGGUUAUUCACUUUACGGCCUGCACUCUCCUUUCGGCUAAGGGCAUCUGCUACCACAUUGGCCUUGCCAGGAUGGUAACGGAUUUCACACUCAUAAUCACUGAGUAGUUCUACCCAUCACCUUUGUCUCAUGUUUAAGUCUUUCUGGUCAAAGAUGUGUUGCAGGCUCUUGUGAUCGGUGAAAAUCGUGCACUUGGUUCCGUAGAGGUAAUGUCUCCAAAUCUUCAAUGCAAAGACCACGGCUCCUAACUCCAAGUCGUGUGUGGUAUAGUUGACCUCGUGUGUUUUCAACUGUCUAGAAGCAUAGUCAAUUACUUUUCCUUUUGCAUAAGCACACAGCCUAAUCCUUGAUUAGACGCAUCGCAAUAGACAACGAAGUCCUCUGUCCCUUCGGGUAGGGACAGAACAGGCGCGCUGCACAAGGCUUUCUUUAGCGUCUGGAAUGCGGUUUCUUGCUUAUCACUCCAACAAAAGGGUACACCUUUCUGUGUUAGAGUGGUUAAGGUUUUGGCGAUUUUAGAAAAGUUCUGGAUGAAUCUUCGAUAAUAGCCAGCGAGACCCAAAAAUUGCCGGAUUUCUGUGGGUGUCUUCGGUGCUGACCAAUUCUCUACCACCUUUAUAUUGGAAGGAUCUACAUGAAUACCCUCCUCGCUUACUACAUGACCAAGGAAAGUUACCUUCCGAAUCCAGAACUCGCAUUUUGAAAAUUUCGCGUACAACUUUUCGGAUCGCAGGGUUUCCAACACUAGCCUUAAGUGUUGUUUCUGGUCUUCUUCGCUUCGGGAAUAGACAAGUAUGUCAUCAAUGAACACAAUGACAAACUUGUCCAGAUAAGGACGAUACACCCGGUUCAUCAGGUCCUUGAACACCGUCGGUGCGUUGGUUAGACCAAAGGGCAUCACUACGAACUCAUAGUGUCCAUAUCGAGUCCUGAAAGCUGUUUUGGAUACAUCACUUUCAUGAACUCGUAACUGAUGGUACCCUGAUCGAAGGUCUAUCUUGGAAAAGUAACUGGAUUUCUGGAGUUGAUCGAAGAGGUCAUCUAUUCAUGGAAGAGGAUAUCGGUUUUUGACAGUCAACUUGUUCAGCUCGCGAUAACCGAUACACAUACGAAAGGAUCCAUCUUUCUUCUUGACAAACAAAACCGGAGCUCACCAGGGUGAGGAACUCGUCCUAAUGAAUCCUUUACUGAGCAACUCAUUGAGUUGACUUGAUAACUCCUGGAACUCUGCUGGAGCUAAGCGAUACGGAGACUUCGCUACAGGAGUAGCUCCAGGAAUUAGGUCAAUACGGAACAAGACUUGACGCUCGGGAGGGAUUCCUGGAAGCUCUUCGGGAAACACAUCAGGAAAGUUACAGACUUCGGGGAUGCUCGCGAGGUCUUUAACUUCCUGCUUCUCGUUGAUUACAUGGGCCAAGAAUGCAAUACACUCCUUUCNUUCCGGCCGGUUCCCCGGUUCAUAUGCUCAUCCCUACGAAGGUUGGAACCGAGUUUAUCGCCAUAGAUUACGAGAGUUUCACCUGAAGGAAGGUUGAGACGGAUGGCUUUUUCGAAACAAAGGACAUCCACAUGAUUGGGACUCAACCAAUCCAUGCCAAUGAUGACAUCAAAGCUCUUUAUGGAUACCAGCAUAAGAUCGAUAGUAAACGAAUGGUCGUUCAGGGUAAGGGUACAACCUACGAACACCUCGCUAGCGCUUUCCUUCUCUCCGUUAGCCAUCUCGACGGUAAACAUUUCAGUUAAAGGUUGGGAAUUAUGCUUUAGGUUAUGUUUGAAUGCAUGACUAAUAAAGCUCCUCUCAGCACCCAAAUCGAAAAGAAUAUCAGCAUAUGAGUUGUCGAGAAGGAACGUACCCGAGACAACGGUGGGAUCGGCGACCGCUUCCACCCGUCCCAUGGCGAGGACCCUUCCGGUGUUAUCAGCAGUAGACUUUUUGGGGUAGUUUCUUUUAAAGUGCCCAGCCUCACCACAGUUGUAGCAGGCUUGACCAACGCCUGCUCCCGAAGAUUGAUUGGCCGAUUGGGUCGGAGCUUUGCAGAAUCGGACUGAGUGCCCCUUCUUACCACAAUUUGUACAGGAAAGUUCUCGACAGGGGCCAGGAUUGUGGUGAUACUUGCACUUGUCACAGAGAGGGAGAUUACCAGCAUACCGGCUGGUACGAGUUGGAGCUGUAGAUCCCACAACAGAAACAACAGCAACGAGGGUAGUAGCAGCAUGAACUGCUACUGUUUGCUGUCUUUUGGAGGAUCCUUGAGAAGAUUGACCCUUCUUCUUCUUCCAAAAUUUCCUUUUCUCACCACUACUUUUAGUCAACUCAGGGGCGGUGGUGGUUUCCUCGACAUCAUCACUGUGGUCAAUUAUGGCUUGGGCUAAAGUCUUAGCACUAUCAUAUGUGUCCGGGCGAGCAGCUAAGACAUGACCUUUUGAUGGAUUGGUUAGCCCCCAAAUAAACAUCUCGAUCUUUUUGCUUUUAGGAGUGACCAAACCAGGGCAGAGAAGGGCAAGAUCAUCGAAUCGGGAAGUGUAUGCAGCAAUGUCGGAACCUUUCAUCUUCAGGUUCCAGAGCUCAUGCUCUAGGUUCUGCAUUUCACCACGGGGAAAUUAUUCGGCAAGGAGGAGUUCUUUCAUGGCGUUCCAGCCCACGGCAUUGGCUAUGGGUAGGGUCAAGGAUUUGACUCGGCCAUUCCACCAAGUCAAGGCUUUAUUACUGAAGGUACAGGCUGCAAAUUUGACCUUAUCGGACUCAGCACAUGCACAGAUUUCGAAAAUGGAUUCGAUUUUCUCGAACCAUCGGGAUAGGAAAAUGCCACCUCCAGUGCCAUCAAAGGAUGUUGGUUUUGCAUUCAUGAAAUCCUUAUAGGAACCUUCCUUUCGGUGUCCCUGAUUGCUUUAUUAAUCUUGAGUACCACCUCCCGAACCACCGGAACCACUGGUGUUCAAUUGGGACAUGGCAGCUGCCACCGCGACGGUAACAACUGUCUGGAAUAACACGAGAUCAAUUUCAGGAGGAGGCGGUGGUGGACGGUUGUUGGUCUUUGAGUUGGGUCUCUUUCUGGGAGGCAUCUUAGUCUAAUAAGAUCAAGAAAGAGAUGAUGAUAAGUCCUUUGAGUUGAAUCGAGAGAUAUGACAGAUAUUAAUUCCAAAUAAGCGAUAUAACAGGAAAGAGUUAUUGAAGCAAGUAAACUAUCGCUAAUGGAAUGAUCGAGGAUCUAUACGUGAACGAGGAUUUGUACAAAGAAUUAGCUCGAGAAAUACUCCCAUAGUAUUUCAUGAUUCGUUACUACACUGGCGCGAUGUUUGUGGUAUUAGGGUAAGUUUUAGGCAUGCCGCAUACUACAGUCACUCCCAAGCACAUGUUGGUCGUGUCUCGAAUGAAUAUAGUUGGUCAGGCUAUAUUGACCCUAGACAUGACUACAUAACUGCCCAGGUUUAACCGCAGUGUACAACACCUAUUUACUUAUGUUUUGUUCUACUUGUAGUUACGGAUCUCGACGAUUCGGUAUACUUAUAUGCUUUUUGAAAAAACUUAUAUUUUGAAGGAUAAUUUUAGUUCAGAGCACUUAGGCCCCUUAAUGUUUAUAGUUUUAUACCAUGUAAGGUUUGGUAUACUUCAUUCACUAUAAACAAGGGCUCUGAUACCAAUCUGUCACACCCCGAAAACCGAAGGCGGAAACAUUUCCGGGGUUGACUCCACGUUGAGUAUCAAAUCCAAUGUACAUAGUAAGUAAAGUAAAACAACCAUUACAUUACAUAUAUAAGUUUUACAAUUGUUUUCAAAAGUAAAGUUGUACAGUUGUGUUACAUAAUAUAUAUAUAUAUGAACAAAAUGAAACGGGUCAUCUGAGCACUCCGACUUCGGGCAAAAGGAUCUUUGGUACCUCUUCUAACGUUAACCUAAGAACACAAGCGGUUUGAACAUCAGCAUAACGCUGGUGAGUUCAUAAGCGGUUUUGUUUGUGAAAUUGAUCAAGUUUCCUUUCUGUUUCUGAAAUGUUAUGCACACCAAGAAAAUCCCAUAUUUUCUUAAUAAAGUUGGUUAUCGUUUGUCAACAUGUAAAGUAGAGUUGUACACUGAAAACAUGUUUACUUUUGUGAAAAUGUAAAGUUAGGUUAUCUGGUUUGACGUACUAUUCUGGUUAUGUACUAAUGUAUUCCCAGGAAAGUCCCAUACCUUCCUGAUUUUAAGUUACCAUUUGUCAAGNGGUUUGACGUACUGUUCUGGUUAUGUACUAAUGUAUUCCCAGGAAAGCCCCAUACCUUCGUGAUUUUAAGUUACCAUUUGUCAAAGAUGUAAGGUUAUCCAGUUUGUUACACUUAUCUAGUUGUGUAAAUGUUUUCCCAGGAAAGCCCCAUGCUUUCCUGAAUGUUGGUUACCUUUUUGUAAAAGUUGUAUUCCGGUUAGACCUGCUUAUGUGCAAGGUUUCCUAGGAAAGUCCCAUACUUUCCUGAAUUUUGGUUUUCAAUGUAAAAGAUGUAUAAAGUUAUUCAUUAUUACUAUAAGUAAAUCUCUGUUAUCCUAAUUGUGAGUUCCGUAACCAUACUAUAGACUGAACAUGUGGCAAUAAGUAGUCCAAAACCUUAUGACUUUCGUCACCCUUGAACCAUUUCGGUUCGGUUGUAGCUAGCAGCCAGGUGUGGGGUAGUCAGCCCCGUAUAGAUCUAUACACUCAAGUCAUGCUCUCUAAAUCCCAGAGAUUCUGGUUACGGGUGUAGUCCUCCACUCGCGUAUCUCUGUGGAGUGUUCGCCGAGGACGUGUCUCCAAUCAUACAGGAAUAACAAAUUUACUAGUAAUAAUAUGAUAAUCCGCCACUCGCGUAUCUCUGUGGAGUGUUACCGAGGACAAGAUAGUGUACAAGUUAUAUUGUUCAUGUGUUCUAAUGUCAUGCUUUUAACUGAUAAAAUGUGGAAAACAUUUGGGAAAUAUAUAAAACAUAAGAGUUUAUAAAACUCAUUUCACAAAUAAAUGUUUACGUGAUCUGCAUGCUCGAAUGGUUAUCAGUUGUAUCAAUCAGUAUUAAAAGCAUAUAAAGUAUGAAACACACACACGAAAAACAAGAUUUUGAGUACAAGAAACCCUUGUACUUUGCUUGUGUCCCCCCUAAAAGCAGUGAAAAACAGUGAAAAAGGGUAGGGGUAUGAACUCACCAGACUCGGAAAUGCGACGGUUUCGGACACUAGACGUUGGUUUGGGGCUUGAUUACUCGCGAUGUCCCUACGUAAAAUGUAAUAAUGUCCAUAUAUAACUAUUUAGAUUUACAAUUACUAAUUAUAUGGAACAUUACACUUCAACGAGGUUAAAAACCUCAAAAAGAGAGUUUGGAGUGACCCGGGUGACAUCUUCGGACGUAUAAUGGCACUAGGGACUUAGGAAUUGAGUUUACUCCCCAAGAGUAAACAUGUUAGGGAGUUUACGGCUAUAUAUCGCACACACAUGAGUUCACGGCCGUGAACUCAUGUUUGGGUAGUUUUGGAUGCUAAAAUGGCUUAAAUGGACAAGGGAAUGUUGGAAUGAACUUCUAAAAUGCCUUGGAUUAAUUUGUUUGGAUUUAUACCAUUUAAAAAGGAGUUCACGGCUGUAAACUUGGGGUUUAGGGCCGUAAAAUCUCCUAUGGUCAAGAGAAAAUUGAUUUGAGGCACUUAGAGCAAUCACAUGUGAUUCUAGUUAAUUUUCCAAGCUUUGCGAUGGUUUAAAGGCAUCAAAUGACACACUUUUAUGAGUUUACGGCCUAAGAUUAUGUGCUAUGGCCGUAAACUCCUAAAUGUGGUGUUUUGUUAUGUUUAAGGGCUCCAAACUAAUUUUAGAUGGUUCUAUGAUUUAUUCCAAGGCUAUUGAUUAUGUUUUAAGGCAUUCUAACAUGUAUAAGGGUGUUUACUCCCCAUGUUUUAGGAGUUUAUGGCCCAAGAACAAGCCUUGGCCAUAAAAUCUCUUUUGUCCUUCAAAAUUCAUGUUUUAAGUGUUUCAAGUCCCGAUUUGUAAGCCUCAAAGUCAUAUCUAAGUCCCAAUAAUGAUUUGGAAGGGUUAAUUGGCUUAAAAACCCCAUUUUUAAGUGUUUAUGGCCCAAGCUUGAUCCUUGGCCAUAAACACAUGUUCUAGGUCCUAAAACUCAAUUUAAACAUCAAUUUGAAGGCUAAAGAGGUUAGAUAACAAGUUAGGGAUGUUACCUCUUUGAUUUGGAGCCUUAAAUCUUUGUUUUUGGACCUUUGAUUAUGGAUUAGGAGAGAGGUUGGAGAGUGAUUAAGGAAAGAUGGCCAAAAGCUUCAAAUGAAGGCUUUGAGUCCUUUAAAUAGUUUUCGGGAAUUGAACACGGCGGAAUUCUACCCGAUACCGACGUUAGGCGGGGCUUUUGGUCGCACCCGACCAAGUUGCCGUAACCCGAUAUGGUCGAUUCUAGAAUUAUUCCGAUAACUAUUAUGGAGUGUUAGAAUGAUUUCAAAUGGAAUUAAGACACCUAUUAAGUCAUUUUAGAUCAAUACAAGUUAAUGACUUAGUUAAAUGGCGAAAUCGGAAACGGAUUUGGAAACGACGUUUGGUUGAUGGAAUUGGAUUACAAUUUGAGUUACAAGAAGUGAUAUGAAAUUUCGGGUUGUUACAUGUUCCCGAAUCUUUACGUCGUGAAUAUCAAAGAUAUUGACAGCCGACUAACUUCUGUGUCACUCUUUAUUCAAGUACUCUUAUCAUACUUUCAUUGGAGUCUAUCUGAAACCUGCUUUAGUUAAGUCAUUGGACUAUAGUAAUUUAGCUCCGGAGACAUUUCCAAGUAUCUUUUAGAGGUUGGAUUUCGUAUUUUCACCAACCCACGAUACCUUGGCUUGAACGAAAAACGUCUUGAGACCAGUGCUCAAACUUACUUCCACUCAUCACUAGGACUGCAUCAUAUGGAUGUAGGUCAACCCUUCAUAAACACACCUCUACUCAGUAUUAGGACUGUAUCAUAGGGAUGUAGGUCAAACUUUCGAGAACAUAGUCGUACUCUUUACAUGAACAAUGUAAGUACAUCAAGGGUCAACCAGAAUCGCUCACAAAAUCCUUAUCUUUCGUGUUACAAAAUCAUGUCGUCAUCCGGAAGCAAUCAGUCGAACGGCGAAACCUCCGCCUUUCCUAUGGACGCUGCUACCUUUCAAAACAUAGUUACAGUUGCCGUGGUGGCUGCGGUAACUGCGGUCCUUGCACACCGUAGCGCUAUCAGCACAGUCAAUGCUGCUGAUGGGAAUGAAGUUUCCAAUCAUGGUAUCCAUCCAGGAAGUCGCCAAACAGUAACAGUCACAGGCUCGCAAAGUCGAAAAGCAGAGAACAAGAAACAAAAGUGUCAAGCCCGGAAAGAACGCAAGAGAUCCCAAAGGCUGGCGAUGCAACAACAUCAAGUGGAAACCCCUGCCACUCCCAUACCGAGCAGGCCAUAUGAGGGAAAACUCCCGAAGUGUGAUAAAUGUAGUUUCCAUCAUCAUGGGGCUUGCCAUGAGAUGCAAUGUUGCAAUUGCCUAAGCAUGGGGCACCAUGCUCGUGGCUGUGGAGCACCGGCACGACCCAUCACUCAAGUCCCUUUCAUCGGGACUAACCCUACACAUGAGAGUACUUAUAAAGCCGAACGCUUUAGGAAGCAAUUUUCAAAGUGGAGUAACGAGGAAGGCACUCGUGUCCACAUAACACUGGCUAAACACCGCAAUCCCGUCACAGUACUAGCCAGUCAUGCCACCAAUGCGGGGAGACGAGGCACUUCCAGAAGGAUUGCCCUAUAGCAAAGAACUCUGACGCAGAUGGGAGGAUUCUCAGGAUCACAGCUGCGGGAGAACCUGAUCUGGAACCCAUGUUAAUGUAAUUAAGGCGUUUUGUUGAAACAGACUUAUAAACUAUCCAGUUAUAGUGCAACUAGAGUCUUACGUUUUGUGAGAUCCUGUCAAUAUAAGGAUGCUCGUGCUGCGUAUAAUUGUCUUUUGUAGUAUACCUCAUUCGCAGCACUAGUCUUGUAGUAAGUCUAAAGUAUUGUAACUCUGUUGUUCGUUGCACUGUGGUGUUUGUCUGUAACGCCUUAUGUUCAAAUCUAAUGUCUUUAGUUUCUGUAUGAUUCCGACAUUAUCAUAUGACUGGAUUCAAUUUAAUCUUCACGAAAACAGCUUCAUGCAUACAUCUUUUUCUUCUAGAUCGCUUUCCCAGUGAAGCCGUCAUAUCAUAACACCCAAGUACUCAUACCAGGAGUACCUCUUAGUUAUUUUCUUUCCGAAGAAAUCCCCGAAGUACCACUCGUGCAAUACGUCAAGUUUAAUCCAAGGAUUCAUGCGAUUGAUCUAUCACUGAGGAAUGUAUACAUACGAGUGAUAUAUAAUCAAGGUUCUACAGGUUUAGAAUUGAUGAUUCCACUUUAACUUCUUUUUCCCCGAUGGGAUGUGAGCUUAAAGAAGAAUCAGUUAUUCGACUGCCUUUUCAAUCUUAAUUAUAUAGGACUCGUAUACACGAAAUUGUGAUUGGGAGACCAUGUAUGAAUUCUAAGAUGGACUUCAGGACGGAGAAAUGCUCAAGACUACGAGUAAUCACAUCGUCAUGUGAACAAACUUAGAACCCAGUAUGACUCCCGUAAACGGAUCGCCCUACAGCUUAAACACAUACAGAGACACAAGAACAGCCUGGACAACUUAGUGAACUACACAGAAAGAGAAUUAGAAGACUAGGCUUCUCACCCUGGAGAACCCCAGUCUUAUUCUCCCAGAGAUCGACGGAUUGCAUUGUAUGUGCCUCGGAUAUCGAGGACUCAGUCAAGAUUUUUCAUUAGAAAUCGUUAUCUCUGCCUCGCAUAGAUGAAAUGGAUGAGUAAACGCAAGGAAGGAAUUACUUCCAGAAAUGGAUAUGAGAUCCGAAUAUCACCAGUUUGAGUGUUAGGGAAGGAUGACGGGAAGACUAUCUUCCGAACUCGAUACGGACGCUUUGAGUCCGUAGUGAUACCCUUCGGAUAGAACCAAUACGCUCAUAGUUUUCAUGAGCUAAAUGAGUAGGGUAUGUCCUUCUUAUUUGCAUCAGUUCGUCAUUUCANUUCAUUAGAAAUCGUUAUCUCUGCCUCGCAUAGAUGAAAUGGAUGAGUAAACGCAAGGAAGGAAUUACUUCCAGAAAUGGAUAUGAGAUCCGAAUAUCACCAGUUUGAGUGUUAGGGAAGGAUGACGGGAAGACUAUCUUCCGAACUCGAUACGGACGCUUUGAGUCCGUAGUGAUACCCUUCGGAUAGAACCAAUACGCUCAUAGGUUUCAUGAGCUAAAUGAGUAGGGUAUGUCCUUCUUAUUUGCAUCAGUUCGUCAUUUCACCACGUAAUGACUUACUUAUCUACCCUCGUAGUAAGAAGGAACCCAUGGAAACAUUACCUUCAGAGGAACUUUUGCGAAGUUCUCUAAGCAAAAUUUUUGAAAUUAAAGAGUCAGGUUCCUAUGAGACACUGUUAGUGAUGUGGGAAAUUUUGAGUACUCUUACAAUUUGUCAAAACCGUUGAGAAUUUGUCGAAACCAGAGACGCCGACAAUCAUUCGUCAAAUUCUAGGUCUUACAGACCUACUGUCUUAGUUCAUCCAGAACCCCUCGCAAAUCACAGGAACCAUUUCGACUUUGACCCAGCAAGGGGUGGCCUUUGAUUGGGAACUAAAGCAAGAGAAGGAACCUUUGGAAUUCCAAGUGAGAGACCAAGUUCUUUUGGAAGUCUCACUCUGGGAACGGCUUAAUACGCUUCGUUAGCAUGGAAAGCUAAAUCCAAGAUAGAUAGGACCUCCGAGAUUCUUACCAGAAUCGGUCCUGUAUCUCACAAAAUAGAUCUACUCCGCGAACUCAAUAACGUACAUUCUACUCUUCGUAUCUCGAUCAUGAAACCAUACCUUUCCGGUAGGACUCUUGUAAGUCCACUCGUCGAGAUCCUCUCCUUCGUAUUAGGACCGUAGUGACCCUCGACCGAGAGGUCAAGCGGACGAAACAACGUCGUCGCCUGUUAGUGAAGGUUCGUUGGAAUGCCAACCGAGAACCCAAUUUCACUUAGGUUUGCUAGAACCAAUCGAUUUCGAAGUUUCCUCCUCACAAAUCAAUCAUUCGUACCUACUUCCUUAUCUAAAUUCUAAUUUUGGGACGAAAUUCCCUUCAACAGGGGGAUGAUGUGACAACCCGAAAUUUCCAUUCUGAACAAACCAUAUCAAGCCAAUAGAAGUAGAACAGUUACAGUGAAAAUUCAGACUUCGAGUAUAAGUUUGGCAGUUUUUCAAGAUUUAUACUUAUGGGGAUAUCAGAAGAGUGGAUGCACUAGGGUUUUGUGCAACACUGUUAUUCCAAUACUCUAGGAUAUUAGAGUUCAUUCCAGGAAUAAAGAUAUUUUCUGUUAAAAAUCUCAGGACUAUAUAUAGAAAUCUGAACCAAAUAGUUCAUUAGUUACAAUUCCAAUUAGAGAAAAUCAAAAUUCUCUCUCACGGAUCUUCGGGUUUUUAUCCCAAAUUGUGAGUACUUCGAUCUAGUUAUGUUAUAUAGCUUAGAUUGUGUUUAGAAACACCAAUUACAUAUCAAAUCUGUGAGACUCGGGAGUUUACCGCCCAAGAACGUUCUUGGGGAGUAAACUCCAAUAUGUGGCUUAAAUGCUACUUAGUCCUUUCCCCGUGAUUUGUAACUACCUUAGACUUGUAUGCUAGGGUGUAUAUGACUAGAAAACAUCAAAAUCGGAUCAAGAGCCCAAGAUUUGGGAGUUUACCGCCCAAGAACACUUGGGGAGUAAACUCCAUUUUAAGGGCCUAAGGUGUCCCAAAGUCCCUCAAAGCCAUGGAACUUAAACUAGAAGCCUCCAUUUCAUGUUUAGGACACCAAAACAAUUAAGAUUCAAGGGUAAUAGAGAGUUCACGGCCAAGGAGGUUCUUGGGUCGUGAACUCCAUUAAAUGGUGCCAAAUGGUACCAUAAAUCUUCCUAAAGCCUUGGACAUUUGCCUUGAUGGAUUCCUUGUUAAAUUAAAGGUUUCAAAACACCAUAAACCUUCCCCCAAGGGAGAUUACGGCCGUAAUCUCCAUGAGAUAUGGUCCCAGGGCCGUAAACUCCUCAAAGGAGUUAAUACGAAGCCCAAACACUUGAUUUAGCCUUGAAACAAUCACCAAACUANGUAUAAAUGAUAGGCUUCAUUUAGAGACCAUGUUGAGAGUUUACGGCCAGGAGUUUACUCCCCUGGGCUGUAAACUCCAAAACAUAUGGUCAUUUGACCAUAAACUCCCACUAGAGGUCUUGCACUCUUUCGUUGCAAACCAUUUGCCUCCUAGCACUUGAACAAAAGUGUUUUCCUCACAUUAAAAUGAUUAUACUUGUAUAAUUAGUGUUUUAACCACUAAUUAUCUAUAUACAUAUGUAUUCAUAUGUAAUUAGGAUCAUUGUGUGUGUCUAAAGUCUUCACUUGACACCAAGCACUUGUCCGAUCCUUCCUUACGAUAACAGGCCGUUCAAUUCCAGUCACUUACUUGAAGUGAGUUCAUACCCCUUAAUCAAUGAUUUAAAUGUUUUUAAAUGUUUUUAUGGGGGGGUACAAGUAGAAUCAUGCUAGUUAUUAUAUCAAUCACAUGUGAUUAAUAAAUAGCAUAUAAAUGAUUUGCUACACAUUAGCUGUUUUACGAAACAGUUGUUAUUUAAAGGAUUUUCAUAUACCUUUUAUAUGCUUAAAACUCCUGAUUUAAUUGUUCAUUAUACACUGUAUGUUUCAUUUCAAACUCAUUUACAAUUGUGUUUCAAACAAAUGGUUCUUUGUAUUUAAAGCUGUUUUGUUAGAUAAAGACUUCCAACCUGUCUUAUAGAUUGACAUCAAGUCGAUCUUUUCUUAGAUAGUAAUCCUGUUCAAAAGGUUUUACAAAACUUAUUUUAUGCUUUAUAUUGUCAAUUGCAUGCCUAUAUAUGUAGGGUUAUAUAAGAAAUAUUUGAUGAACUUAGGAAGGCUAUUCACCCUAUUUCCUCUUCGCGCUUGAGAUGUGGUCUGGUGGGAUAUCGGGUAUCUAUCCGAAGGUCGUUUAAAUAUUAGUUAUAUAGUCAUAAAGGUUCUUCCAGUUCAGUUCAAUACCCUUAGGUAGCAAGGGUACACAUCCAUGUUCAUACGUACCAGUUACAUUACUAGUAAGCUACCGUAUGGGUAGUUUAGGAAGAUACUAGGACUAUUACUAGAACGCGAUAUCAUACAAUGAGUCAGUUCAUUCAUGAGUCAAUACUUGCUAGAUAGAGGGAACAUACAUUACAGCUAGUACACACAGUACAUUACUAUACAUGCUAGAUAGAGAGAGA
rnacentral:lncRNA from 1 species